rnacentral:lncRNA from 1 species
UAUCACACUUUGGGUUCUGCUCGUCGCGUGUGAUCGGAUGCGGUGUCGAAUAGCUUCGAACAAGUUUGUGACAAACGAAUAACUUUUCCAAACAAGGUUCUAUACAGCUCUAGGACUCUCUGCAAACCCCCCUCCCCACUAUUUUCUUCUUUCUUCUUUCUUUUUCUUUUUUUUCUCUUAAUUUCCUGACGGUAAAGGAAAAAAUCGAAUUCACCUCACAUAAAAAGGUUCUAUUCAAUUGUUCUUCCACAAUAAUGUCUCCUACCUGAUCCUUCAAUACACGCCUCCAUUAUGAUCCAAAAUGUGAUUCGUAUGUUUAAAAAAUAGAUGCGGCACCUUGUAGCACGACAUUUGUGUUAGAUCACUGAAGUCGCAUUUGAAGAAGAUAAGAAUGGAUUCAAAUUACAAAUGCUAACAUUUCUUCUUUGGAUAAACCAAAUUCUCAGGCGAAUGAUAAAUCUCUCUCUCCCUCUC